UUACUUACCUGGCAGGGAAGAUAUCACCAAGGUGCCUUUCACAUUCAUUGCACUCUGGAUGUGCUGACCCCUGCAAUUUCCCCAAAUGGGGGAAGCUCAACUGCAUAAUUUGUGAUAGGGGGACUGUGUGGCACUUUCCUCU
ensembl:snRNA U1 U1 spliceosomal RNA